CAGUAAAAUAGAUGGCACCCAGUCCUUAGAAAAUAUCCAAACCCUCAAAACUUGUCGGUACCAUCUUCCAAAAACAAGCAGCCUUCCAAAAUCAAAACCAUUUGCUGCUCAUUCCUCUCUCCAAAGCCUACCUCUUCCUCUUCUGUCAAUCUGGUUCCCUCCUCCUCCCCCAUAAUCUAUCAUUGAUGACCAUCGGAACAUUUCCAAUUAGGUAACUCUCUCUUCCAUUCUUUAAGCAAUCCGCGGCUAAACUAUGUGCUAGGAUAUUAGCAUAUCUGGGUAUGUGUUUGAGCUGGAUACUAUGAAAACUCCUUUUCAAUUGUUGUAUGUCCUAAAUAAUAGCCCCUAUCACUGAUUUAUCUCGAAUGUCCGACUGACUUUUUUUAAUAAUGGUUUUUGCAUCUCCUUCUAUGGUAACUAAUGAGAGGCCUAGAUGGUUUCCCAAAAGCAAGGCCUCAAAGUAAGCAUAUCCUUCCGCUAUAAAUGCCGAAGCGAUCUCCUUGUGCAGUGUCUGUUUUGAAGCCAAAAUCUCACUUGGAGAGUUACGAACAACCACUCCAGAUCUAGAUCUCACCAAAUUUUGAUUACAAGCGGCAUCAAAAUUAACUUUAACAUCAGAACCUAAUGGGGGACACCAUUCCUCAUUAACAAUAGAUCUGGUAAACUUCUUAUCUUCUAAACUGUCAAUCUCUCCAAUAUAUCUUGUUAUCUAGUUCGCUAUUUCUUUUCCUUUAAUCUGACUCUCGUCAUGCAGGACAAGAUUUCUAUUUGUCCAGAUUCCUCAUAUGGCACAAUAAAAUAAUUUGUACUGGUCAUUGGAACUCAUUCGAAAAACCCAGGUAAACCAAUCUCUGUCGUUCAAAUCUAGAUUAGAAAGAAUCUAGUUUAGAUUUAAAUAAUUCCAAACUUUUAUUGAUAUAGAACAUUAUCUAAAAACAUGAUACAAGGGCUCUGCUGCUCCACCACACUUGUGACACAGGACAUCUCUUCUAAUCCUUCUGUGUUGGAGAUUAACAAAAGUAGGCAAGAAAUUCCAAGUGGUUUUCCAUAGAUUAAUUUUUACUUUUGAAGGGAUUUUUAGAGAUCAUAGUUUUUUGUAUAGCUCCCUAGAAUCAUAAUGUGUAUAAUUAGGGUUAAAAGUACCUUUAUGUAAUAGUUUAUAGGAACUUCUGACAGAAAAUUCCCUUGAAGAUUCCCCCUCCAGACCCGUAUGUCUUCAAUCCCUUCUUUGGCCAAAGGAGUUCGUAAGAUUUUCGACGCAAUCUCUUCAAGAAAGGUACUAUUAAUUAGAUUUACUUUCCAUUCUCUAUCAUCUGCAUCAAUGAAGUUAAAAACUAAGUUUAACCCACCAGUAUUAAUUUAUUCAUUAAUUCUAUAG
rnacentral:lncRNA from 1 species